AUCAUGAGCCCUGGGAAUUCCUGCCAUUGUUUUGUUUUGUUUUUUUAAAUAGAUGUUUAUAUGAUCAGGAAUAGAUAAAAGUUAAUGGUGAGAUAAAACAUAUAAGGGACAUCAACCCCCCUGCUUCAGAACAAAAGCAAUACCCUGCCUAACAGAGGUAAAAUGACACUUCCUCUUACAUAGGCAUCUUUUUUAUCACAGUUGAUUCAUAAUGGAGAUUCUCCACCUUUCUGAGAAGCAUCUGGAAAUAGUCUCACUUGGAAACAGGAUACAGGAUUAGAUGGACCACUGGACUAAUCCUAUAUGGCAGUUCUUUUCCUCUGCCUAGCUGAAACCGGGAAGUCACAGCAGGAUUCUAGAUUAUAAGGCAAGAAAGGACUGUUGUGAUCCACUUGGCUGACUUCCUUAACUGGCUGGGCAGAGACUGAUUUGCAAGAUUUCAAGUCAGAAAAUUUCACCCCAUGAUUCCUGCAUCAAUGGCAAUAGUUUCCAUCUGAGAUGCAGUAGAUCUUUUAGCAGGAAGUACCAAGUCUGGAGCUAGAGAAUUCAAGUGAUCACAAAUCCUCCAUACCUCUAGAUCUUCCCAUGGCUACAGUUGGUCAGCAUGUCAAAGGAAAAGCUGAACCAUCCACAAAGUGGAAAGUUUGGAAAUGUGAUGGUGAGUUGAUACUAUUAACGGAAAUAUGUGAAAAAGAUUGAGCUAAUAGAUUAAAGACACAGAACAACAAUAAGUUACAGUUUAACACUGACAAGGAGGGAUGGUGUCUGUGUG